AGAGUUUGAUCCUGGCUCAGAACGAACGCUGGCGGCAGGCCUCAAACAUGCAAGUCUAGGGGGUGUAGCAAUACAUCACCGGCGGACGGGUGCGUAACGCGUGGGAAUAUACCUAUUGGUUCGGAACAACUGAGGGAAACUUCAGCUAAUACCGGAUAAGUCCUUACGGAGAAAGAUUUAUCGCCAAUAGAUUAACCCCGCGUUCGAUUAGCUAGUUGGUGGGGUAACGGCCCACCAAGGCGACGAUCGAUAGCUGUUCUGAGAGGAAGAUCAGCCACACUGGGACUGAGACACGGCCCAGACUCCUACGGGAGGCAGCAGUUGGGAAUCUUGGACAAUGGGGGAAACCCUGAUCCAGCCAUGCCGCGUGAGUGAUGAAGGCCUUCGGGUUGUAAAACUCUUUCGCGCACGACGAUAAUGACGGUAGUGCGAGAAGAAGC
rnacentral:rRNA from 1 species